ensembl:ncRNA ZC247.7 ncRNA
UUCUUCCAAAGACUCUUCAUUUCAGUCCCCGGAGACCGAUAGUCGGCCCAUCAGGCGCUCUUUGAACCGCCCGGAAAGCGUGAAAGCGAGAAGAUCUUCUCUGCUGUUUCACGCCCUUUUUCUGCUUCUUCGUCCCUUUUAGAGAUGCAUUUUCAACCCCGAAACAUAUAUCCCCCUCCCCUUCCAACAUCUUUCUGUGGGUGUGUAUAUAUGUAUGCUCU